rnacentral:lncRNA from 1 species
UCAUGGAUUAUUUCAAUAUUUUUGUAAUAAAAAAUAUAGGGUAUACAUAUAGGCAUCAUCACUUUUUUUAUAGACCUGGAAAUCAUUUAAAAUACUUUAAGCAUCAUAAUUACUUGGGAUGUCAGAAACUGGUCCACAAAUUCCAUCAGCCUGCCUCAGCAGAUGGAGAACAUUUGUCUCCUGCAAGACCACCCUACUUUGCAAUGUUGGUGCCCCCAGGAACCUGGCCAGGGGUGCUAUCAGAAUAUCAGGUGACGAGAGAAUCAGCUUAACUAGAAAGGGCUUGUCAAGACUGGCCAAUGUUUCCCAGGAAAUCAAAGAUGUAAAUGAUUACUUUCAUCCGUCCAUUGUGACAAACCUGACCACAGUGGAAGACGUCUUAACCUCCUUCCCUGGUUUUAUAUUAACCCAACUGAUAUAUUAAAUAUUAGUCGUCACUAAAAAAAAAAAGAAAGAAAGAAAAAAGUCAGUUUAACUUAGUUAUUUAGUUAUUUGGACUGUCCAAUUCACUUAAAAUAGUCAAGUUUUAUAAUCACCACCUAUAAUGGGUGUGUCAUACAGAGACUGCUGUCCUCAUGAUGACAUCCACAGGAAAUGACAGAGGGCUCAACCUAGGACUUCUUUUGGUACAAGCCCCAAAGCAAUCUUUAAAAGGUAGAUGAUUUUUACCAGUAAACAUGCCUUCCUAGUACUCCAUGAUUUGACCCUCCAAGCAAGAUUUCCACUAAAAAAUAAUAGUCUUUUGUUCAGAUGUGAAAAGAUUGCCUAGUCACCAGUAAAGGCCCAGGAAGAUGCUCUUCUUGCCAGCAAUUGGUGAAAACAUUCCAUCCCCUUUGUAGGAGGAAAAAAUGAUUAUGUUGGCAAAUUCCUCACUCUUAUGCAGAACCGUGAGUUAUUAGCUUCAUUAUUUCCAAGACAACUUUUAAUUGAUGAUCUUUGGAAACUGAAUUGCUCAACUGAACUAUGUCUUUGAUUCCAUGAAUAAAUAACAGGUUACAGUAUAAUAGUGUCAAUCAGCACAAACCCAAAAGGCCCCAUCACUCUUCAAUCAUUUCUUCCGAAGAUUUCAUUUUCAGUCUGCCUUUGAACCCUCCACAGACAGUAACUGAAGAAUCUAACAGGAGCAAACUAAGGUUAGCACACAAACUGGAAAUGCUGGAUUCUUUGUCUGUGGGCUCCACCUUCCUGUGUCUGAGUCUAUUAAUUCUUUAAGGGGGAUCUGCCCUUGUCCUCCCUUUUUGCGUAGGACCACGAAAUUUUCUAAAAGAAAACAUUGUAAUUUUUAUUUACUUUCAAAUUAGCAUUUCUAAAUGCAACCAUAUUUAAGAUUAAGGAACAUAUAUGUCUUAACAUACCGAGACUAAGUAUUUGUGUGGAAGAAAAGAAUUUUUCCGUGUAAGUCAAAGUUUGGUCCCCCAAAAUGACUAUGUCCUUUAAAUUCUUUUCUCACAUUUAUAUUGUCCUACUUAACUAUGUUCUGUCUACAUUUACAUUGUCCUACUUAACUAUGUUCUGUCUAGUUCAGUAACAUUGACUUUGCAGACACUCAGUUACUACUCACUUAUGACAAUGCUGUGAACCCAGUCAAUAAAAUAAAUUCUCCUACUGACAUGGCAAGAAUAUGCAAUUCAAGUAUUAGCAAGAGAAACAAUGCAAAGAUAAUAUGAAGAUAAAAGUAUAAUGAAGUAUUUCUACUUAAUUUCUAAAUGCUCAAUUUAUCUUGCUCUAUGAAUAAAUGAAGCAACAGCACUGACCAAUUAAAAGUGAAUGGAAAUAAUUGAAAUCUCAAUGACUGGUUUUUUUAAAUAUCAUAUAUAUGUGUGUAUGUCAUAUAUAUAUUGUAUUAUGUAUAUUAUAUAUGUGUAUGGAGAUAUAUAUAUAUAUAUAUAUAUACACACACACACCUAAAGUAACAGAGAUGAAAAGGAUAAAGUAUAUACUGCCCUUUCAUGCAUAUAAAUUGGGAUGUUAUUGACACAUGAAAUUUAGAUAAAAAGUUUUUUCCUACUUCUUUUUCAACAUCAGCCCAGGCUUACAAUCCCUGUCUAUAAGACGUCAACAAACUUGUGAAUUUAGUUGGAAAUACCUACGUAUAAUUUAGCCCUUUUAGUUUGAAUGAGCUUUAUUACUCCUUAAGGAUCUCAUCUUUUAAGCAGCUAAAUAGAAGAGUUUUGAAUCAUUUCGAAGUUUCUUUCUCUGAACCAAGUGAAUUGAGCAAAGAAAACCUCUGGUAUCCUUACCAGGAUUGUGUAAGGUUACAAAUCUGCCUUUAAAUGUACCAAAUGCCGUUGAGUGGAAACAAGUUCUGACACAAUGUUUGGAAAACAAUCUAGAGAUUUUUUUCUAAUGAACCAUUUUCUAGACUAAAUACGUGCUCCCCUGCAUUCUCACACAUCUUUCCAUUAGCCGUUACUGUUUCCGUAUAAAACUCGGAUGCAAUGCCCACAUUUCUAUGUUUCUAAGGAGAAUUCCUUAAAGACUUUGUAAAAAUAGCUCCAGCCGUCUUUCAGAAAUAUAGCUCAGAGGAUGUUGAAAUGCAUGGUGAAAACACAACAGGACUGAGGUGGUUGUUUCUAUAAUUUCAGUGAUGGAUGCAGAUCAACUCAUGUUCAUUUAUCUUCAGCAAUCCAAUGUUACCUUUGAGAACAAUCAAAAUGAUUGCUUCGGCCAGCUUGUGGCUCCUAACACCCCUUCGCCCCAUCUGAAGCUAGAGCAUUUCAAAAUGGCUAAGGAUGGGCCAUUUCCCUCUAUCACCCUCCCCCUUACUCCCUGGCCCUGUAUCAGGCUGUGAAAUGAUCUUAACAGCAGGGUUGCAUCUCUCUCCUCACUCAGGCAGGCUCCACUGUCCACUACAGAGUUCCCUCUACGGACAUAUGUCUUGUCCAGUGGCUUUCCUAAAAAUGAGCAUGUGGAAAGACUCAAUAUGUGCCUGUGAUCAACAACCUCAACAGUCUAAUUACUCAUUCAAAAGUAAAACUCUGCAAAAUGUGGGUGGAAUUGUAUAAAAACACAAUGAGCCAUUUAAUUUUGCUAAUUGUAGCAAUUAGGCUAGCAGGCACACAGCCUGAGCUCACAGCAGAAAGCCAAAUGGAAGAAGUGGCAGACAGCCAUUUGCCCACAGAAAUGAGGGGUUCAGAAAUUCUCCCCGGAGUCUCUGAGGCAUCAUGUUGUUUCACCAUCCAUCUGAAGCUCUUUCUCUAGAUUCCACAAGAAAAAAAAAUCAGAUUUUUGUUAUAUUGCAGGCAAUGAUCUACCCAGAAAUGUGAAACUUCAACCUUUUGUGGCCUGUGUUCUGCUAAAUAAGAGAUGGUUUAAUGUCCCUGAAAUGUUUAAUCAUUUUGCUGAAAUAUUUUCAUGAUACACUGACAUAAUGUAAGUCAGAAACACUGACCAAGUCAAAUUUUUGCUGUGGUUAUGUUUUUUCCCCUUUGGUUUUCUUGCAUUUCAGUUCCCUAUAUUGAUAGUAGCUUACCGUCAUGGUGAGCCUAUCGUGUGCCCAGUGCUGUGCUAAAAAGCUUCAUCUCUGUGAUCUCAUUUAAUCCUCAAAACUGUCCGCGAGUUAAGUACCAUUUGCAGAUGACAAAAGUUAAACUCCAAGAUGUUAAACAAAUUGCCAGGGGUCUCACAGCUAGGAAACAGUGGAGCUAAGAGUUGAACACAACUUGUAACAACUUUUAACAACUGCAAAUCCUUCUAGAAGACCAAAGAAUGUUUUCCCAACAAAAUCUGUUCCUGAUUUGGCAAGCUUCCAGGAGAAAAAAAGUGUGGUCUGACGAUCAAAUGUUUCGAAGAAAAUUUUGUUUAAAAGUCAAAUAUGUCUUUCAAAAUGAAAAGUUAAAAAUUAAAAAGUCAGUGAUGAGAAGUGGAAGUCUCUAUCACCCGUAACUGAAUUUUACUUCAACACCCUAAUUCAUAGUAGGCAGAUUUAUGCUACAUUUUCAUUUCAGACAGCUGUACCCCUCCAUGACCCUAUGAUACACUAACGUAGUGAUAAUUGGAAAUUAACCCAAUGGCUCUUCUCUUGUGUUCAAUACAUGUACGCUACUGUCGUCAAAGUAGACAGACUGAAAAAUAACUCAACCCCACUACUUACUUUGAUACUGUGACCAAAAAAAGAAAGAAAGAGAGAAAGGAAAGAAAGACAGAUCAACAAAUGUUUGCAGUGACAUUCUUCUAUUCCAUUGCCAUAAUUUUUCCCUAAAUUUUAUUUAAGAGGAUUAUUAUCCCACUAGCUUUGCCCAUCAUAUAAAUCUAGGAACGUUAUUUUAGAUGGAAAGGUUAGAUGCAAAGAAUAUAGCAAAUAUUUGCCAAAUAUUUGUUGAAUUGAUUAUAAAAUAAUUGAUGUAUCCUUUCCCUCCUCACCUUGGAUGUAAUCUGUCUGAGGUCUACAGGAUGACAGAGUUGUAACCAUUCAAUGACAUAUAGUAAGCUGUGUGUGUUGUUGUUUGAAUUGAUGCUAAAAAGGUAGGCAAUAGUAAACCAAAAAUUUCCUCAAUGCUGGGGUUAAUUUUAAAAAGAUAUGCAGUGGUCACUUGGAAUUUAACAUAUUAAAAAUAAGAGCAGUCAUCUAUCUUCUUGCUUUAAUAAGCUUUAAGCAGAUCUUUAUGAAGUUAUGUUACAUUAGAAGUCACUAAUUUUUAUAGAAAAUAGCAUCUAAAAGAGAUCCGAGUGUUACUUCGGCACACUUCUUUUAUAGAUGAGACAACGGAGAUCCAAAAAGAUCAGGCCAUUUUUGUAAUCAGGAUUCCUUCAGUCGUUCAUUCCACAGGCAUGAUCUAUAUGGCGAGUAUUGGGGGGCAACACACAGCCAAGUGCAAGAGGAACCCACAUUCCAGCCGCUCACACUUUGGUUAUUAGUAGCAGAAUAAGAGUCUCCUGACUUCAACUCUAACUCUUCUGUUCUGCUACACUGCUUCUCUUUUUAAUAUCAAUCUUUAAUUCUAUACUAGAGUAAUAAACGUAAGCUUUCCCAAGAUUGUGUUAUGUUAACCUCACAAUACACAAUUGCCACACACAAUGACAAACAAAAGGCAAUGACACAAAUAUAAAUCAACAAUGGAAGACUACCUAUAAAGAGAAAAGCAAUGUUUUAAUUUGUUCUUAUGCCUCUCCAACACCAGAUAUUUUUAAAUCAAGGUCACAAAGCAACAAAAAAAUUAAAAUACUCUUUUGGCACAUAGGCUUUAACUCAAAACAAUCACCUCUGAGUAAAUUUUGGAGAUAUUCCUGAGAAUGUCUUUUAAGAAAGGGCAUGAAAUUGGGAUGCAUCUAAAAUAUCUGAAGAAUUUUCUAAUAGGCUAGUUCUCUGAUUCAGGAAACAUCCUUCAUUAUCACAUAAGAUACGUCUCCAGCAUGCUAGUUAUUUAGGAAUCACAAAUUUCCAGACAUAAACCUCAGUUAUUCCAACAUGAGAGGUUGUUCUAAAGCCAUACUGCUGAUGCCCAGAAGGGCAGCACUGUGCUGCGUGACCCUCAGGAGUCAGGAUGGCCCGACUCACCUGGUAUGGAUGCUCAUGCUGGCAUUAUACCCAACCCAAGCUCUCCUGCAAUAUGGCUCAGAGUAAUUGGCUUCCCAUGAUGUAAGGAAUGUAGGACUGUUUAAAGGUAAUUAUUAACUUGCUUAACUAAUUUUCUCUACGUGAAAUAAUUCUGGUCCAGGAAUGUUUAAACCCAUUGGUCCUCUAUGGAGUAAAAACAGAGAAAAAAGCUUAUUAAUUUUUACAAGUACAGAACAAUUCAAAGAAUUUCUUGGUGAGUUCCAUCAAGCAUCAAUAAAACAGUUGACCUAAAAAUGAUGCCAGGUCUGAAGAUUUCUAGGUUCAUGCCACGUUAACGGUUCGUUGCCAUGAUUACUGCUGUUUUAGCCAUUGCACCAGAUAAGAAGAAUAUAGUUACUGGUAGGAUGUUUGCAGAGCAAGAUCACAUUUAACAAAACAGAUCAACAUCAAAACGAAAUAGUCAAAUUGAUAAGCAAAUAUUACCAGCACAGUACCAACGCAAAAUUUUCUUUUGUGUUAUUAUUGAAGCCUGUCAUCUACUCUGUUAUUAGAAUUUCAGAAAAUGUAAGGUUUCAUGUUUUUAUUAUACUUCCACCUACCAAAUUAAGCUCGUGGCCGCUCUCCUCUCUCUAUUGCUUGAUUUGCAUUAAAAUGGAAGUAAUCAAAUUCUUACUUCAUUUAAAUACUACAAAUAUUAACAAAUGGAGAUGUUGUGUUUAAGCUAAUUUAACUUAACUGUUCUAGUGGUAUUCUGGUAUGGAGUUGUAGCAAAUCAACGCUCUCAAUUAUUUCAAAUUAAUUCAUUUAUCAGUAAGUCCUAAAACACCCCUGAGUGUGUUGAAGGUAUAUUUCGGGUUUCUAUCACCGUAAGAAAUUCCUAUUUUGAUUACAAACCAUUGGAACAUGUCUUAAUCAACACCAGUAUUUCAAUCCAUUAUGAUUCUGGAAAAUGAACACUUGCGUUUGAGUGUGCUGGACAUAUUAACUUACAAUUAACCCUGGACCUGUAGCUUGCAAUUGGCCCCACUGUAAAUUCUUACUUUAUUAAAAUUGGGAGCAAUAGCACAUUAUCCCAAAACCAAAGCAGAUCUGCCUGCUAGUCCAAAGAUUGUUAUUUUAUAUCCUUCUUUCAAAGAACUACUAAAGUCUUUAAUUUCCCUUAUUAACCUUUCUAACGUAUUGUACACAGAAAAGGAAAUGGAUCUCUGAAGUAUGUUUGGAAAGCCUUGUCUGAAUCAGACACUUGGUGAUCUGUGAAAAGAAAGAAAUCUCUCCUACCUCAAGAGAGGGGAAGGGGAGCAAGCCAGUCACGUUCAGAAAUUCCAGCCUCGACUGUCACAAAGCUGCAUAUUGCUGAUGCUAUCGAUUCCCUUCUUUUUUACAG